rnacentral:rRNA from 1 species
UUUUUUUUUACAACGAGUAUAAAAACUUCCCAAAUAUAAAGACCCCGUAAUUGUAAUUAGUACACUCUAAAUCCUUUAACGGGGAUCAACUGGAUGGCAAAUCUAAUGGCAGCAGCCGCGGUAAAUUUAGCUCCAUUA